rnacentral:rRNA from 1 species
CUGGGAUAACUCCGGGAAACCGGAGCUAAUACCGGAUAGUUCCUUGAACCGCAUGGUUCAAGGAUGAAAGACGGUUUCGGCUGUCACUUACAGAUGGACCCGCGGCGCAUUAGCUAGUUGGUGAGGUAACGGCUCACCAAGGCGACGAUGCGUAGCCGACCUGAGAGGGUGAUCGGCCACACUGGGACUGAGACACGGCCCAGACUCCUACGGGAGGCAGCAGUAGGGAAUCUUCCGCAAUGGACGAAAGUCUGACGGAGCAACGCCGCGUGAGUGAUGAAGGUUUUCGGAUCGUAAAGCUCUGUUGUUAGGGAAGAACAAGUGCAAGAGUAACUGCUUGCACCUUGACGGUACCUAACCAGAAAGCCACGGCUAACUACGUGCCAGCAGCCGCGGUAAUACGUAGGUGGCAAGCGUUGUCCGGAAUUAUUGGGCGUAAAGGGCUCGCAGGCGGUUUCUUAAGUCUGAUGUGAAAGCCCCCCGGCUCAACCGGGGAGGGUCAUUGGAAACUGGGAAACUUGAGUGCAGAAGAGGAGAGUGGAAUUCCACGUGUAGCGGUGAAAUGCGUAGAGAUGUGGAGGAACACCAGUGGCGAAGGCGACUCUCUGGUCUGUAACUGACGCUGAGGAGCGAAAGCGUGGGGAGCGAACAGGAUUAGAUACCCUGGUAGUCCACGCCGUAAACGAUGAGUGCUAAGUGUUAGGGGGUUUCCGCCCCUUAGUGCUGCAGCUAACGCAUUAAGCACUCCGCCUGGGGAGUACGGUCGCAAGACUGAAACUCAAAGGAAUUGACGGGGGCCCGCACAAGCGGUGGAGCAUGUGGUUUAAUUCGAAGCAACGCGAAGAACCUUACCAGGUCUUGACAUCCUCUGACAACCCUAGAGAUAGGGCUUUCCCUUCGGGGACAGAGUGACAGGUGGUGCAUGGUUGUCGUCAGCUCGUGUCGUGAGAUGUUGGGUUAAGUCCCGCAACGAGCGCAACCCUUGAUCUUAGUUGCCAGCAUUCAGUUGGGCACUCUAAGGUGACUGCCGGUGACAAACCGGAGGAAGGUGGGGAUGACGUCAAAUCAUCAUGCCCCUUAUGACCUGGGCUACACACGUGCUACAAUGGACAGAACAAAGGGCUGCGAGACCGCAAGGUUUAGCCAAUCCCACAAAUCUGUUCUCAGUUCGGAUC